rnacentral:misc_RNA from 1 species
UCAAAAGAGGAGAUUUAGAGAGUGCUGAGUUUUAUAUUCAUGUGAAACCAGCACUCGGAGGAACUUUCACUGAUAUUGCAAUUUGGGUAUUUUGUCCCUUCAAUGGACCAGCCACCCUUAAAGUUGGGUUAAUGAAUAUACCUAUGACUAAGAUUGGGCAACAUGUGGGCGAUUGGGAGCACUUCACUCUUCGUGUAAGCAACUUCACAGGAGAACUAUGGCAAGUCUUCUUCUCUCAGCAUAGUGGUGGCCAAUGGGUGAAUGCUUCUGAUUUGGAAUUCAUUGAAGGUAAUAGGCCAAUUGUUUAUUCGUCAAAACAUGGUCAUGC